rnacentral:ribozyme from 1 species
AAACAGAAAACAGCCAAAGAAAAACCCCAACCAAAAUCAAAGAAAAACACAAAAGAAAUUGAAGAAUCAAAAGAACCAUUUCCAUUUGAAAACUUGCCAGUUUAUGUUGCUGCAGAUUUACUUGUAUGGUUGGAUGAUUUACCUUCUGUUUUCAAUCUGAUGCAAG